UACGAGAGGCCCAAACGUUAUUCGGAAUUACUGGGCGUAAAGCGUGCGUAGGUGGUUCGUUAAGUCUGAUGUGAAAGCCCUGGGCUCAACCUGGGAAUGGCAUUGGAAACUGGCGACCUAGAGUGCGGUAGAGGGUAGUGGAAUUCCCGGUGUAGCAGUGAAAUGCGUAGAGAUCGGGAGGAACAUCUGUGGCGAAGGCGACUGCCUGGACCAGCACUGACACUGAGGCACGAAAGCGUGGGGAGCAAACAGG
rnacentral:rRNA from 1 species